UUCGGUGGCAAUGGCGAAGGUGAGACACCCGUUCCCAUCCCGAACACGGAAGUUAAGCCCUUCUGCGCCGAUGGUACUGCACGGGAAGCUGUGUGGGAGAGUAGGUCGCCGCCGAAAAAUC
rnacentral:rRNA from 1 species